rnacentral:rRNA from 1 species
UGGUCAAGUUAUUAAGGGUGCAGGGCGGAUGCCUUGGCACUAGGAGCCGAUGAAGGACGUGAUAAGCUGCGAUAAGCUUCGGGGAGUUGCACGUAAACUUUGAUCCGAAGAUUUCCGAAUGAGGAAACUCACUUAGAGUAAUGUCUAAGUAUCAUUAAGUGAAUACAUAGCUUAAUGAGGGGAACUCAGGGAACUGAAACAUCUAAGUACCUGAAGGAAGAGAAAGAAAUUCGAUUCCGUAAGUAGCGGCGAGCGAACGCGGAUUAGCCCAAACCAAUAAAGUUUUCUUUAUUGGGGUUGCGGACAUAUCAUAACGAAGAGGUAUCGUAAUUGAAGAGGUUUGGAAAGACCCACCACAGAAGGUAAUAGUCCUGUAUGUUAAACGAGAAGACUUCAGAUAUGAUCCAGAGUACCACGGGACACGUGAAACCCUGUGGGAAGCAGGAGGGACCACCCUCCAAGGCUAAAUACUACCUAGUGACCGAUAGCGUAUAGUACCGUGAGGGAAAGGUGAAAAGAACCCCGGGAGGGGAGUGAAAUAGAACCUGAAACCCUGCACUUACAAGCUGUGGAAGCACAUUUCUUGUGUGACCGCGUACUUUUUGUAGAACGGGCCAACGAGUUACGUUAAGUAGCAAGGUUAAGCACUUAAGGUGCGGAGCCGUAGCGAAAGCGAGUUUUAACUGAGCGUUCAGUUACUUGACGUAGACCCGAAACCGGGCGACCUACCCAUGAGCAGGAUGAAGCGAAAGUAAAAUUUCGUGGAGGUCCGAACCCACGAGCGUUGAAAAGCUCGGGGAUGACUUGUGGGUAGCGGUGAAAUUCCAAUCGAGCCCGGAGAUAGCUGGUUCUCCCCGAAAUAGCUUUAGGGCUAGCCUCAAGGUGAGAGAUACGGAGGUAGAGCACUGAAUGUCCUAGGGGGUAUUGCACCUACCGAAGACUAUCAAACUCCGAAUGCCGUCAUCUUAUACUUGGGAGUCAGACUGUGGGUGAUAAGAUUCAUAGUCGAAAGGGCAACAGCCCAGAUCGUCAGCUAAGGUCCCUAAAUGUAAGUUAAGUGGUAAAGGAUGUGGGAUUGCACAGACAACCAGGAUGUUGGCUUAGAAGCAGCCACUCAUUCAAAGAGUGCGUAAUAGCUCACUGGUCGAGUGAUCCUGCGCCGAAGAUUUCCGGGGCUAAAACUUACUACCGAAGCUACGGCAUCAGUAAUGAUGGGUAGGGGAGCUUCCCAUACGGGUUGAAGCAUGACCGUAAGGACAUGUGGACAGUAUGGGAGUGAGAAUGUUGGCAUGAGUAGCGAGAUGUGGGUGAGAAUCCCACAGGCCGUAAACCCAAGGUUUCCAGGGGAAGGUUCGUCCGCCCUGGGUUAGUCGGGACCUAAGCUGAGGCCGAAAGGCGUAGGUGAUGGACAACAGGUUGAUAUUCCUGUACUACCGAUAACCGUUUGAGAGAAGGGAUGACACAGUAGGAUAAGCUAAGCACACUGUUGGUUAUGUGUGCCCAAGCAUUGAGGCAGUCAAAGUAGGCAAAUCCGCUUUGAUAAUGCUGGGAUGUGAUGGGGAGCGAAAUUUAGUAGCGAAGUAGCUGAUUUCACACUGUCAAGAAAAGUCUCUAUCGAGGUUAAAGGUACCCGUACCGCAAACCGACACAGGUGGGUGAGGAGAGUAUCCUAAGGCCAGCGAGAGAACUGUUGUUAAGGAACUCGGCAAAAUGACCCCGUAACUUAGGGAUAAGGGGUGCCACCAUCAGGUGGCCGCAGAGAAUAGGCCCAAGCGACUGUUUACCAAAAACAUAGGUUUCUGCUAAGUCGCAAGACGAUGUAUAGGAGCUGACGCCUGCCCGGUGCUGGAAGGUUAAGGGGAUCUGUUAGAGCAAUCGAAGCAGUGAACUUAAGCCCCAGUAAACGGCGGCCGUAACUAUAACGGUCCUAAGGUAGCGAAAUUCCUUGUCGGGUAAGUUCCGACCCGCACGAAAGGCGUAACGAUUUGGGCACUGUCUCAACAACAGACUCGGUGAAAUUGUAAUUCCGGUGAAGAUGCCGGAUACCUGCGACAGGACGGAAAGACCCCAUGGAGCUUUACUGUAGCUUGACAUUGGGUCUUGGUACUACAUGUACAGGAUAGGUGGGAGGCUUUGAAACCAGGACGCCAGUUUUGGCGGAGCCAUCCUUGGGAUACCACCCUUGUAGUACUGGGACUCUAACCAUAGGCCAUGAAUCUGGUCUUGGGACACUGUCAGGUGGGCAGUUUGACUGGGGCGGUCGCCUCCCAAAAGGUAACGGAGGCGCUCAAAGGUUCUCUCAGUACGGUCGGAAAUCGUACGUAGAGUGUAAAGGCAAAAGAGAGCUUGAUUGCAAGACAUACAGGUCGAGCAAGGAUGAAAAUCGGACUUAGUGAUCCGGUGGUUCUGCGUGGAAGGGCCAUCGCUCAACGGAUAAAAGCUACCCUGGGGAUAACAGGCUUAUCUCCCCCAAGAGUCCACAUCGACGGGGAGGUUUGGCACCUCGAUGUCGGCUCAUCACAUCCUGGGGCUGUAGUAGGUCCCAAGGGUUGGGCUGUUCGCCCAUUAAAGUGGUACGCGAGCUGGGUUCAGAACGUCGUGAGACAGUUCGGUCCCUAUCCGUCGCAGGCGUAGGAAAUUUGAGAAGACCUGUCCUUAGUACGAGAGGACCGGGAUGGACGUACCUCUGGUGUACCAGUUGUCCUGCCAAGGGCAUGGCUGGGUAGCUAUGUACGGAAUGGAUAAGCGCUGAAAGCAUCUAAGCGCGAAGCCAACUUCAAGAUAAGAUUUCCCACCGCAAGGGUAAGACCCCAGAAAGACUAUCUGGUUGAUAGGUCGAAGGUGUAAGUGCAGCAAUGUAUUUAGCUUAUCGAUACUAAUAGGUCGAGGACUUGACCAAAUU